ACACUGUUUCUAAGCACUGUUCAUCACUGUUCACAUCGAAAUGACGGUUUUGCCCUCAUUCUAAAUUGUUUUACGGCUCUGCCAUCGUUCUGCCAGACGCUACCGUCGGUUUCUUCUUUCUUCUACAGCAGUAUAACCGUAUAACCACGAUUGCUCUCUCAAUUUGGAUCUCCGCCGUGAAUCCGACUCUCAGCUCCCCCAUAUCAAUAUCGUCGACGAACAGAAAGUGAUAGAGAUAGAUUGAGAGAGAGAGAGAGACGGAGGUUUUCUGUGUCUUUUGGGUCUUCUCACUCUUCUGCGAGAGAGGGAGAGAGAGGAAGUGAAGGCUAAUUCCAGGGAGAGGAAGAACAGGAAACAGGAAGAGGAAGAAGAAUUUGAUACACCAAGUUCAUGCUGGGAAUAUGUGAGAAUUGAAUUUCAGAAUUUGCUUUUUUUUUUUUCUCUGUUUGAUGAAAGCUCUGUGGGUUUUGAAGAAGAAAGAAGAACAAGAAUAUAGGAGCUUGAAAUUCUUCACUGAUUGGUAAGGUUGGUAAUUCAAUUCCAUUUGUUUCCCAUAAUUGGAAGAGCUGAAGUUAUCUGAUUGGUAAUAUAUGAAAUUAACAGUUGAAGAAGGUAGAUAACUCAGAGAAAAGGAAGAGGGGGACGGGAACAAUCGGUUUUUUUUUUUUUUUUUCAGAAUCACAGCUCUAUCUGUUUGUGGCUAUUUGUAUUUUUUUUUUCGUCGAGUUUUUGGGGUUGCUGUGUUUGCAUGGUUUUUGGGAUCAUUGAUUUUCUGAUCUAAAUGUCUGUGUUCUAGGUGUUGGUGGCUGUGAUCUUAAUUUCAGAGCCAAUUUGGACUCUAGAGCUUGGAAUAUCAUCUGGGUUUUAUCUGUUUUGAGUGUUUGAGUGUUUAAUUUUGAGAUGGGGUGUAAUGAUCUUCACAGUCUCUGCAAGCCAGAUCACCGGGACAGUUAGCAAUGAAUUUCUUGACUUCUCUGUUGUGUGCAAUGUUGGGAGCAUAUUUUCAUUAUUUGUUGACUGAUUUUGUUCCUCCCAUGUUUUUUUUUUUAUAUUAUCAUUCUGUUCAAUCUUCUUUUUCUUUAGAACAUACUCAACAUACUAAACAAAUACCCAAGCUAACAGAUGAUGCGCCCUGCUCUUGGGGUCUUCUUAUGUUUCCUGUGAUAUCAAUAAUUCAGAUGCUAAAGUGUUUAAUCCCAGAUACUUAAAGACCCAAAAAAGAAUUGAUGAUACUUCUAAUGUGUACAGAACAUUUACAUUACUUUGUAGUCAACUUUGGCCUUCACUUAUUAACAUCUAAAUUUGUUUUGUUGAUGCAGCUUUGGCAUCAUCUGUAUUUGAAGUUUGAUCAUGUGUAGCUCAUAAUUGUUGUAUCGAAUCGUAUAUCCCAGUUUCAACUGUACCAAUGAUAGCACAGUGAAACAAAUGUUCAAUUGAUAGGUCAUGCAUCGAUCUUGGGGCAAUCGAUGUGGAAAAUAUUAUGUGUUUCUUCCUACUACUAAAAUAUGCUUUUGGAUACAUGUUCAGGUGCAUCAAUACGUGAUGGAAGAGAAAUCCUUUUAAAGGAAGCUUGCUGAUCAGUAUACUGUCAUUGCAGAUUUGUAGGAGACUAUUUUGAGCUACAAAUUAAGUGCAAUCACAACAGUGAAGUGGUCUGCUCAUUAUUUUCUUUUAGUAGUAAUGAAAGUAUGAUAUGUAAGUAUAAAUAUUGACGUGAUACAAUGAAAUUCAAGAGACUCAACUAUAACGUACAAAUUUGAGACAAAAGAAAACCCGCAGCAUCGUGCGGGAGAAUAAUCUAGUUUAUUACUAGGAAACAUCAUUUAUCCUAGGCCUUGACUUAA